rnacentral:lncRNA from 1 species
UUCACAUAGGGAAAGAAUUUCAAGAGGAAAUCAAGUCUCUUUGGAAACUGGAUGAAGUCAUGGACUGAAAAUGUCUUUCAGUAAAUGUAAGGUAUUAAAAAUGUAAGAAAAUAGGUCUAAAAAUACAUAUCACUAUCUCCUUCUAAGGUGGAAGUGCUAAGUGGCAUCUUUCUGUUCCUCUGAGCAUGUCCAAGAUUCCACACUUGGGACAUUUCUUAUCACAUAGGUCCAGUCCCUGAGGUCAUGCCCUGUAGUCAUUCUUCUCUGCCUCUAAAGUAAUUUGCAGAACUGGGUGUAGUCUAGUGUAUGCUCAUUCUUCAUUAUUCUCUAUCCCGAAAGGUCAAAGCAUAAUAUGGAAUGUCUUGAACUUAAAAGAGACACUAAGCCUAGAUAACCAGCUGUGCUCAAAUUAAAACAUCCAAAAAUAACAUUUAUUCUCCCAACAGCAAAGACUGACGGUAAAUCUGGGGGAGGAGGAAUACCUCCUAACCAGACUUUAAAAUUGUACUAAGUCACUCACUCCAAUUUUGUAGGUUUCAAGAAGAUUCCUUCAGAACUAAAAGAAAUAAAUUUUGCUCUACAGAGUCUGUAAAGAGAACCUGGUGCUGUGAAUACAGAGGAAGAUACCAUCAUCCAUGUAAUAAAGCUCCCUAUGUAAACAGGAGCAGAUAAACAAAACCUGUAAAUAACUGACCAUAAUAUGCAGUCUCAAUUACAGGGCCCACUAUUUCCAUCUUGAGCACAACUCACAAGAAUAUGAGCCCAUCCAAGGGACUCCAAUAAAGUAAGUGACAACAAAGGAAGACAAAUAACACUCUAAGGCUGACUAUUUUCUCCUGUGAUGUGGUCAAGGCUUUUGGCCACAAGUAGACACUGUGUUCUACUGGAGAAGUUAGCAAAUGUGCUGGCAGGGUGCUCUAAGCCUAUGCUCCUCAAAGUGGACCAGCAGCAUCCAUACCAACUGGAAAUAUUGGAAGUAUAGACUUUUAGAAACCACCCUAGACCUACAGAUCAGAAUCUGCAUUUUC